rnacentral:rRNA from 1 species
AUUGAACGCUGGCGGCAUGCCUUACACAUGCAAGUCGAACGGCAGCACGGGUGCUUGCACCUGGUGGCGAGUGGCGAACGGGUGAGUAAUACAUCGGAACGUACCUUAUCGUGGGGGAUAACGCAGCGAAAGUUGCGCUAAUACCGCAUACGCCCUGAGGGGGAAAGCGGGGGACCGUAAGGCCUCGCGCGAUUAGAGCGGCCGAUGUCUGAUUAGCUUGUUGGUGAGGUAAAAGCUCACCAAGGCGAUGAUCAGUAGCUGGUCUGAGAGGACGAUCAGGCAGAAUGGGACUGAGACACGGCCCAGACUCCUACGGGGUGCAGCAGUGGGGAAUUUUGGACAAUGGGGGCAACCCUGAUCCAGCAAUGCCGCGUGAGUGAAGAAGGCCUUCGGGUUGUAAAGCUCUUUUGUCAGGGAAGAAACAGCAGCUCUAACACAGUCUGCGAAUGACGGUACCUGAAGAAUAAGCACCGGCUAACUACGUGCCAGCCGCCGCAGUAA